GACGUAGGGUGCGAGCGUUGUCCGGAUUUAUUGGGCGUAAAGAGCUCGUAGGCGGCUCGUCGCGUCGACCGUGAAAACCCGCGGCUUAACUGCGGGCUUGCGGUUGAUACGGGCGGGCUAGAGUUCGGUAGGGGAGACUGGAAUUCCUGGUGUAGCGGUGAAAUGCGCAGAUAUCAGGAGGAACACCGGUGGCGAAGGCGGGUCUCUGGGCAACAACUGACGUGAGGAGCGAAAGCGUGGGGAGCGAACAGG
rnacentral:rRNA from 1 species